ACAGCAGCAGCCGCGGUAAAACGGAGGGUGCAAGCGUUAAUCGGAAUUACUGGGCGUAAAGCGUGCGUAGGCGGUUCGUUAAGUCUGUUGUGAAAGCCCCGGGCUCAACCUGGGAAUGGCAAUGGAUACUGGCGAGCUAGAGUGUGUCAGAGGAUGGUGGAAUUCCCGGUGUAGCGGUGAAAUGCGUAGAGAUCGGGAGGAACAUCAGUGGCGAAGGCGGCCAUCUGGGACAACACUGACGCUGAGGCACGAAAGCGUGGGGAGCAAACAGGAUUAGAUACCCGUGUAGUCCCUGUCUCUUAUAC
rnacentral:rRNA from 1 species